ACCUAGUGCUUCUCCUCUUCUUCCUCCUCCUUCAUAUCAAUGCCGUUUAACUAUUCUCACAGCCAGAAUUCCCCAUAAUUUUAACAUUGAAUCUAUCAUCGACAUUGUAUCGAAAAAUUAAAAAAUCUACAAACUCCAUAGGAUUGUCUUCGACAAACUUUUUCCAACCAUUCACAAAAAAAAAAAAAAAACCCUUUGUCAGCAUAUUCCAUUUUCAUAUGCCAAACUUUUCCCAUUCGAUUCCGAAGUACAACGUUCUUUGGUAAUGCAUUCGAGUAUUGUACCCAAGCAUCCGGGAUUUUCACAGAAGAGAUUUAUUGGUAAAAGUGGCACUUGAAUGCAUUACCGAAGAAUGUUGCGCUUCAGAACGAAUGGGAAAAGUUUGGCAUAUGAAAAUGGUAUAUGCUGACAAUGGGGUAUUUUUGUGAAUGGUUGGCAAAAGUUUGUGGAAGACAGCGCUUUAGAGUGUGGAGAUUUUCUAAUUUUUCGAUUCAAUGGUGAUGAUAGAUUCAAUGUUAAAAUUUUGGGGAAAUCUGGCUGCGGGAAAGCUAAGCCGAUCCUCUUGUGGGCAUUGAUAUAAAGGAGGAGGAAGAAGAAGAGGACACGAAAUUAUUGAUGUCAGUACUGAUUUUGAUGAAGAUUACGGUAGUGACAGUGAAGAUAAUGUCGAAAAGGCAGAGGAAGAGGAGGAGGUGGAAACAGAAGAAGAAGCACUAGACGUAAUAGCUACAUUGAAGCAGAGAGGCAAAAGGAUUUGUGGAAAUGAUGUUUGUUCUAUCUUAUGCCUUCAGAGAUUUUGGAUUCUAUUAGCUGAACAUGUAACCUUUCAAGAUGAGAUGGAGAGGAAAUGGCCUGGAAUGGUUAUGUGCUGAAAGGAUGGACGAACCUGGAUUAGUGGGGAUGGAAACAAGUCUGCUGGUGGAACCAUGAGCAAAAAGAUGAUCCUUGCAUAUGUGAAUUUCCGCAAGCAGCUGGGAGAAACAAUAUAAUUCUGUUGCAGAUUCUCCAAGGAGUUGGGUCACAGAGCCAACCCACCAACCAAGAACCAAACCAGGCUGACCAAUGAAGCUGGGGCUACAGUCUGGUUUAAGUUUCUACAUCAAGCUCUGCUAAUGUUUAUAUAAAUAUUAUGCUUUCAAGAACAAGAAGUGUUAUGGUGAUGAACAAGAUUUAGAAUUUUUCUGUGGGUCACUGUUGUCAAGGGUUCAGGAAACAAAAAUGAAAUCUGGGGUUGGCUGCUUGAGGAGACCAAUUCCAUCUAGAUGAAGAAUAUAAAUUAUAUCAAAGAAAGUUGAGGUUGGCGGGGCCGUCAAACAUUUCCAGGGCAAGUAUGGACGUUACUAGAGCUGGAAUGGACAUUUAGCAACCGCAAGUAUACGCAUUACUAGGGCAAAUAUGGGGUUGCAAAUCCAGAGACUUGUGUUUCAGACGAUUUGAAGGGAACAUGGUUGGAUACCAAGUGAGAAAGAGACAAAGCCUUCUAUGUUGGUUGGGUGACAACAAAGUGAGAAGCCCUUCGAUGUUGGCGUCCAACCUCCAUCUACUUUCAAACUCUGAUAGAUUAUAAAACGAGUGGCUUGUAUCUACCAUCACCGAGACUCUUUGACCAUGGUAAAGCUUAGUGCUUCAGGAGUGGCCGAUAUCUCUACCACCAUCGAAACUACAUGGUGGUAUUAUGAUAGAUGUAGCAUUCUUUCUUACCUUUUCUUUAGGGGCUACUUUCGGAAUAUAAGUGCUAUAUAUUAUCACCGAGGGUUUAGUCGAAUAGUCAAGUAUAUGAUUUGCUCGUACAAGGUUUGAGCUCGAGCUCUCUCAUGGGUACUCUUAUGAUCAAAAGUUAUAUUUAAUUGCAUAAUAACAAUUGUAGGGUU